GACAGAGGGUGCAAACGUCGUUCGGAAUUACUGGGCGUAAAGCGCGCGCAGGCGGCCUUGCAAGUCGGGCGUGAAAUCCCACGGCUCAACCGUGGAAGUGCACUCGAAACUGCGAGGCUAGAGUCUUGGAGAGGAAGGCGGAAUGCUUGGUGUAGAGGUGAAAUUCGUAGAUAUCAAGCGGAACACCAGUGGCGAAGGCGGCUCACUGGACCGGUACUGACGCUGAGGCGCGAAAGCGUGGGGAGCAAACAGG
rnacentral:rRNA from 1 species